rnacentral:rRNA from 1 species
UACGUAGGGAGCGAGCGUUAUCCGGAUUUAUUGGGCGUAAAGCGUUCGUAGGCGACUUGUUAAGUAUGAAAUUAAAGCCCGAGGCUUAACCUCGGUUCGUUUCAUAAACUGACAGGAUUGAGUAUGGUAGAGGUAAGUGGAAUUUCUAGUGUAGCGGUGGAAUGCGUAGAUAUUAGAAGGAACACCAGUGGCGAAGGCGACUUACUGGGCCAUUACUGACGCUGAGGAACGAAAGCGUGGGGAGCAAAUAGG